rnacentral:rRNA from 1 species
UGGGGAAUCUUGGACAAUGGGGGCAACCCUGAUCCAGCCAUGCCGCGUGAGUGAUGAAGGCCUUAGGGUCGUAAAGCUCUUUCGCCUGUGAAGAUAAUGACGGUAGCAGGUAAAGAAACCCCGGCUAACUCCGUGCCAGCAGCCGCGGUAAUACGGAGGGGGUUAGCGUUGUCGGAAUUACUGGGCGUAAAGCGCACGUAGGCGGACCAGAAAGUUGGGGGUGAAAUCCCGGGGGCUCAACCCCGGAACUGCCUCCAAAACUAUUGGUCUAGAGUUCGAGAGAGGUGAGUGGAAUUCCAAGUGUAGAGGUGAAAUUCGUAGAUAUUUGGAGGAACACCAGUGGCGAAGGCGGCUCACUGGCUCGAUACUGACGCUGAGGUGCGAAAGUGUGGGGAGCAAACAGGAUUAGAUACCCUGGUAGUCCACACCGUAAAACGAUGAAUGCCAGUCGUCGGGUAGCAUGCUAUUCGGUGACACACCUAACGGAUU